CUUUGACGCCUCCUAUAGCUGGAUAUCUUGUAGAAAGGUUUGGGUAUAGGAACGGGUCAAUGUUCAUGUUUGGUCUUCUGGUAUUUUGGACUCCAGUUACAUGCUUUCAGUGGAUGGCUUGCUCCUGCAGCAGGCAACGCAAAAAGAAGUGCGACAUAAUUACUUAAUUCAGUACAUCUUGAUCGCAUACCUUUAUAUUAGGUUGAUACUAAAGAAAGUUUCGUAAUUUA